GGAAACAAGGGCGUAUGGUGGAUGCCUUGGCUUCAAAAGGCGAUGAAGGACGCAGCUUGGCGGCGAUACGCUUCGGGGAGGUGCCUAGCAACCUUUGAUCCGGAGAUGUCCGAAUGCGGAAACGCAGUGCGAGUAAUCGCAUUACCUGCUUAGAUUUUUGGGAAAAAAAAGCAGACUUUAACCGGUCUGCAAGCGGUGACAUAUACUUUUAAGCGUUAGUUGAGUGAUAGUAAAUUCACUCUGUCAGCUUCUCUCCAGAAGCUGAUAUGGCAAUCUUCCGGAUUUGCUUCAGGGAAGAAAUGUCUUAUUGUUGAGUGAAGUCUUUUUACGGAGACAAGACCGUCACGACCAAUCAAAUUGUCACGCGUUGUAGUUUGUUGCUGGCCGUAAUGAAUAGUCAGGUUGAUUUUGUUGUUCAUAACACGAGGAUCUAAAGUCAAGAUACUCUUACAAUUCAAAUAUGUCAAUUAUUGAUUGACCCCAAAAAUCUAAGCAGGAGUAGACCCGGGGAAGUAAAACAUUUCAGUACCCGGAGGAAAAAAAACUAAUAAGAAUUCCGUCAGUAGCGGCGAGCGAAAGCGGAAAUAGCCCAGAUCACCGUGCACAGCACAGAAAUUCCAAAAUCCAAAUCUCAAAUUCCAAACAAUAAUUAAAUUCCAAUUCUCAAAAAUUAAAUUUUGAUUAUUGAAAUUUGUUUGGAGCUUGGUUAUUGGAGCUUGGUGUUUCCGCGCUGUGCGCGGGGAAGUUGUAAGACGAAGAUGCCCCGAUGUUACAUCGGGGGAAAAGUUACAAAAUAUUUGGUUAGCCGAAGCCGCUGGAAAGCGGCCCCCUAGAGGGUGAUGGGCCCGUAGGCGAAAACUAAAUGUCUUUUUUGUCUUUGUUCUUGAGUAACUCAGGACACGAAUAGCUUGAGUGAAUCCGCCGGUACUAACCGGCAAGGCUAAAUACUUUUGAAGACCGAUAGUGAACUAGUACCGUGAGGGAAAGGUGAAAAGCAGCCCGGUGAGGGCGGUGAAAUAGACCUGAAACCAUAUGCUUACAAAGAGUUAUAGCCGUGCUUCGCACGGAAUUUCCAAGUUUCAAUAACCAAGUUCCAAACAAUAAUUAAUUUUUAAUAUUAAAUUUUAAGAUUUGUUUGAGAUUUGGAAAUUGUAAUUUGGAACUUCCGCGCGGAGCGCGGUGGUAGCGUGCCUAUUGAAGAAUGAGCCAACGAGUUGAUGUAUGCCGCGUUAGGUUAAGCCCGCGAGGGCCAAGCCACAGGGAAACCGAGUGUUAAUAGCGCGUAUGCCGUGCUUCGCACGGAAUUUCCAAGUUCCAAUAACCAAGUUCCAAACAAUAAUUAAUUUUUUAACAUUAAAUUUUAAGAUUUGUUUGUGAUUUGAAAAUUGUGAUUUGGAACUUCCGCGCGGAGCGCGGUGGUGGUAUAUAUCAGACCCGAAGCCGAAGCGAGCUUGCCAUGAGCAGGAUGAACCCCGCAGAAAUGCGGGGGAAGGUCCGAACGCUAGAGCUGUGCAAUACUCUGCGAUGACUUGUGGUAAGAAGUGAAAAGCUAAUCGAGCUCGGUAAUAGCUGGUUCUCU
rnacentral:rRNA from 1 species